GAGGGUAUAGCUCAGUGGCAGAGUGUGGGCUUAGCAUGCAUGAGGUCCUGGGUUCAAUCCCCAGUACCCCUA
rnacentral:tRNA from 1 species